UGACUUACAGUAUUUAAUAAGCCGUCAAUAAUUGAAUUGUACUGUGAUAGGCAGGCUUUAGCCUCUCAGUGAAGCUCCACCCUCCUGCCGCUCUAGAAGCAGGCACACACCUGUGCCGCUUUAGGAGUUGAUUUAUAGAGAGCACUCAGGAUCUCCCCUGUAGGAAUUGUGGUCCAGUGUGGCUAGAGAGCAUUGUAGGAGUUAUGAGUCAAGGCUGACAAUGUUUUUAACUUGUGAAUAUGUUUUAAUUUGUUUUAAUCACAGGUAUGUUAAGUCACCUGUUGUCCAGACCUUGUCAGCUGAAUAGCCUGUCGUGCUAAAGGUUCACCACAGAGAAGGCUGUGGGUAACGCUGAGGUAAAAAGAUGUUGUCUAGUAGAGUUAUGUAAGUUUACUAGUUUGUGUGCCUUUUGAUAACAUGAUUCACAUUGCAGUGGGCCUAUACAUCUGAUCCAUAAACAAGGUGGAGUCAGAGCUGGGUUGACUACUUACUGCAUUGUGCGAGGUGGAUGGGCCCCUGUGAAUGUGGUUGCCAACUGCCGGGGUCUGCUAGGGGUGUGGUGGUUGUCCCUGUUUUUGGCUGUGCGAUUUUCCUCAGUUUGUUCUCCUUUUAGUGUUCUGCCGGACUGACAGGGUGGUGGAUUGUGGGAACCCCUUUCCCCUUCAAUGCAUGUGGUGGUGGGUAUGAAAGCUGUGUGUGCACGCUUUACUUACAGUUACAGUUUUAUUGUGUGACGUUUGUGUGUAUCUUGCUGUGUCUGGGUGGCUGCGCACCAGUGUGAGUGGUAGUGUCAAAGCACCUGGGUGGCGCACAGGUAACCCUCCCCCAGCAGGUCUGGCCCCUGUAGAUGCUGAGGUGUUUUUAACCGUGUGCUUUUAUCCCUUUGCAUCUCUGGCAGUAAUUUCAUCCACAUCUUAUUUGUUUAUAUUGUUGUGCUUGUGCAGCAAAUAAAAUUGCCCAAAGCCUGAUUUUUUAAAAUUGUUUAAAUAAAUCUUCCUUCCGG